rnacentral:tRNA from 1 species
GGGUUGGUAGCUCAAUGGUAGAGCAGUUGCCUUUUAAGCAAUUGGUUCUGGGUUCGAAUCCCAGCCAGCCCACCA